rnacentral:rRNA from 1 species
CACGUAGGGGGCGAGCGUUGUCCGGAUUUAUUGGGCGUAAAGAGCUCGUAGGCGGCUCAGUCAGUCGGGUGUGAAAACUCCAGGCUCAACCUGGAGACGCCACCUGAUACUGCUGUGGCUAGAGUCCGGUAGGGGAGCAUGGAAUUCCUGGUGUAGCGGUGAAAUGCGCAGAUAUCAGGAGGAACACCAGUGGCGAAGGCGGUGCUCUGGGCCGGAACUGACGCUGAGGAGCGAAAGCGUGGGGAGCAAACAGG